UACGUAGGGGGCUAGCGUUGUCCGGAAUCAUUGGGCGUAAAGAGCGUGUAGGCGGCCCGGUAAGUCCGCUGUGAAAGUCGGGGGCUCAACCCUCGAAAGCCGGUGGAUACUGUCGGGCUAGAGUGCGGAAGAGGCGAGUGGAAUUCCUGGUGGUAGCGGUGAAAUGCGCAGAUAUCAGGAGGAACACCGAUUGCGAAGGCAGCUCGCUGGACGUGAACUGACGCUGGAGACGCGAAAGCGUGGGAGCAAACAGG
rnacentral:rRNA from 1 species